rnacentral:rRNA from 1 species
CUAGUUGGUGGGGUAAGAGCCUACCAAGGCGACGAUCGGUAGCUGGUCUGAGAGGACGAUCAGCCACACUGGGAUUGAGAACGGCCCAGACUCCUACGGGGGGCAGCAGUGAGGAAUUUUCCGCAAUGGAGGAAACUCUGACGGAGCAACGCCGCGUGCAGGAGGACGCUUUUCGGAGUGUAAACUGCUUUUCUGUGGGAAGAGAGUGGACGGUACCACAGGAAGAAGCCCCGGCUAACUACGUGCCAGCAGCCGCGGUAAUACGUAGGGGGCGAGCGUUGUCCGGAGUUACUGGGCGUAAAGGGCAUGCAGGCGGUCGGACGCGUUUUGUGUGACAGCGGGUGGCUUAACUACCCGAGUAUGCGAAAGACGGUUCGACUUGAGGGCUCGAGAGGGACACGGAAUUCCGGGUGGAGUGGUGAAAUGCGUAGAGAUCCGGAGGAACACCGAAGGCGAAGGCAGUGUCCUGGCGAGCGACUGACGCUGAGGUGCGAAAGCUAGGGGAGCGAACGGGAUUAGAUACCCCGGUAGUCCUAGCCGUAAACGAUGACCACCAGGUGUGGGAGGUAUCGACCCCUUCCGUGCCGGAGGAAACCCACUAAGUGGUCCGCCUGGGGAGUACGGUCGCAAGAUUAAAACUCAAAGGAAUUGACG